rnacentral:rRNA from 1 species
GAUGAACGCUGGCGGCGUGCCUAAUACAUGCAAGUCGAGCGAACGGACGAGAAGCUUGCUUCUCUGAUGUUAGCGGCGGACGGGUGAGUAACACGUGGAUAACCUACCUAUAAGACUGGGAUAACUUCGGGAAACCGGAUCUAAUACCGGAUGAUAUUUUGAACCGCAUGGUUCAAAAGUGAAAGACGGUCUUGCUGUCACUUAUAGAUGGAUCCGCGCUGCAUUAGCUAGUUGGUAAGGUAACGGCUUACCAAGGCAACGAUGCAUAGCCGACCUGAGAGGGUGAUCAGCCACACUGGAACUGAGACACGGUCCAGACUCCUACGGGAGGCAGCAGUAGGGAAUCUUCCGCAAAGGGCGAAAGCCUGACGGAGCAACGCCGCGUGAGUGAUGAAGGUCUUCGGAUCGUAAAACUCUGUUAUUAGGGAAGAACAUAUGUGUAAGUAACUGUGCACAUCUUGACGGUACCUAAUCAGAAAGCCACGGCUAACUACGUG